GGGGAAUAUUGGACAAUGGGCGCAAGCCUGAUCCAGCCAUGCCGCGUGAGUGAUGAAGGCCCUAGGGUUGUAAACCACUUUUCUCAGGGAAGAAGCACUGACGGUACCUGAGGAAGAAGGACCGGCUAACUACGUGCCAGCAGCUGCGGUAAUACGUAGGGUCCGAGCGUUGUCCGGAGUUACUGGGCGUAAAGCGCGCGCAGGCGGCGGUGUAAGCAUGGCGUGAAAGCCCCAGGCUCAACCUGGGAGGGUCGUCGUGGACUGCACCGCUUGAGGGCGGUAGGGGCUGGUGGAAUGCCUGGUGUAGUGGUGAAAUGCGUAGAGAUCAGGCGGAACACCCGUGGCGAAGGCGGCCAGCUGGGCCGUCCCUGACGCUGAGGCGCGAAGGCGUGGGGAGCGAA
rnacentral:rRNA from 1 species